CCUACGGGUGGCAGCAGUCGAGAAUCAUUCACAAUGGGGGAAACCCCGAUGGUGCGACGCCGCGUGGGGGAAUGAAGGUCUUCGGAUUGUAAACCCCUGUCAUGUGGGAGCAAAUUAAAAAGAUAGUACCACAAGAGGAAGAGACGGCUAACUCUGUGCCAGCAGCCGCGGUAAUACAGAGGUCUCAAGCGUUGUUCGGAAUCACUGGGCGUAAAGCGUGCGUAGGCGGUUUAGUAAGUCGUGUGUGAAAGGCGCGGGCUCAACCCGCGGAAGGCACAUGAUAAUGCGAGACUAGAGUAAGGGAGGGGGAACCGGAAUUCUCGGUGUAGCAGUGAAAUGCGUAGAUAUCGAGAGGAACACUCGUGGCGAAGGCGGGUUCCUGGACAUUAACUGACGCUGAGGCACGAAGGCCAGGGGAGCGAAAGGGAUUAGAUACCCCUGUAGUC
rnacentral:rRNA from 1 species